GAUGAACGCUGGCGGCGUGCCUAAUACAUGCAAGUCGAGCGAACAGACGAGGAGCUUGCUCCUCUGACGUUAGCGGCGGACGGGUGAGUAACACGUGGAUAACCUACCUAUAAGACUGGGAUAACUUCGGGAAACCGGAGCUAAUACCGGAUAAUAUAUUGAACCGCAUGGUUCAAUAGUGAAAGACGGUUUUGCUGUCACUUAUAGAUGGAUCCGCGCCGCAUUAGCUAGUUGGUAAGGUAACGGCUUACCAAGGCAACGAUACGUAGCCGACCUGAGAGGGGGAUAGGCCACACUGGAACUGAGACACGGUCCAGACUCCUACGGGAGGCAGCAGUAGGGAAUCUUCCGCAAUGGGCGAAAGCCUGACGGAGCAACGCCGCGUGAGUGAUGAAGGUCUUCGGAUCGUAAAACUCUUUGAUUAGGGAAGAACAAAUGCGUAAGUAACUGUGCGCGUCUUGACGGUACCUAAUCAGAAAGACACGGCUAACUACGUG
rnacentral:rRNA from 1 species